AUUGAACGCUGGCGGCAGGCCUAACACAUGCAAGUCGAGCGAGCGGCGGACGGGUGAGUAAUGUAUGGGGAUCUGCCCGAUAGAGGGGGAUAACUACUGGAAAAGGUGGCUAAUACCGCAUACUAUCGGAUGAACCCAUAUUGGAUUAGCUAGUAGGUGGGGUAAAGGCUCACCUAGGCGACGAUCUCUAGCUGGGCUGAGAGGAUGAACAGCCACACUGGGACUGAGACACGGCCCAGACUCCUACGGGAGGCAGCCGGGGGGAAUAUUGCACAAUGGGCGUAAACCUGAUGCAGCCAUGCCGCGUGUAUGAAGAAGGCCUUAAGGGUUUAAAGUCCUUUCAGCGGGGAGGCUUUACCCGCAGAAGAAGCACCGGCUGACUCCGUGCCAGCAGCCGCGGUAAUUC
rnacentral:rRNA from 1 species